AUCUGCAAUAGUCAAGCAAGCGACUACCCAACCACUCAAUGCCAUCCACACCAUCUUAGCAAUCCAUAGUGUUGUACUCCAUGGAACCGCCAUUGUCCAAGAUUCAGCAAACCCAAAAAAGCAAUCACCUUUCUACACCAAAACCAUUCAUAGAAAACCCCAAAUCCUCACUUCAUCAAAUAAAUUUAACCCAAAAAGCAAUCACAUUUCACACCAAAUCUAUUCAUACAAAACCCCAAAUCCUCAGUUCAUACCCAAAAAAGCAAUCACCUUUCUACACCAAAACCAUUCAUAGAAAACCCCAAAUCCUCACUUCAUCAAAUAAAUUUAACCCAAAAAGCAAUCACAUUUCACACCAAAUCUAUUCAUACAAAACCCCAAAUCCUCAGUUCAU
rnacentral:misc_RNA from 1 species